CUCUUCCCACUUGGAGCCGGUCUCCAGGGCAGAUCUUCCGGCCAACUCGCCCUGUAAGAAAUUAGAAAAUGCUACAAUAAAACCUGAAAAAACUGAAAAAAAUGUGGGAACUUUAAUAAUGAAAGCUCUCACACCGGCCACCGUAAGCACACUCACACCUCCCCUGAGUUGGAAGUCACCGAGAGACAGCGAAGUAGCACAGAAAUCAGAUGGCAGUAGAGUGAGCAUCGGCCAGAGGCGAUAACUCCUCAGCGGAUUAGUCUUCAGCAGACAUUAUUCAACAGGAAGGUGAAGCAGCUACUCAAAAAAUCUGGAUCCAAGAGCUGUCCUUUGAACUAACACCGCG